rnacentral:rRNA from 1 species
GACAGAGGGUGCAAACGUUGCUCGGAAUUACUGGGCGUAAAGCGCGUGUAGGCGGACGUGCAAGUCAGGUGUGAAAUCCCUGGGCUCAACCCAGGAACUGCAUUUGAAAUUGCAUGUCUAGAGUGUCGGAGAGGGAAGCGGAAUUCCUGGUGCAGAGGUGAAAUGCGUAGAGAUCCGGAGGAACCCCAGAGGCGAAGGCGGCGUCCUGGCUCGCAUCUGACGCUCAGACACGACAGCAUGGGGAGCGAACGGG